rnacentral:rRNA from 1 species
AGUGAACGCUGGCGGUAGGCCUAACACAUGCAAGUCGAACGGCAGCACAGUAAGAGCUUGCUCUUACGGGUGGCGAGUGGCGGACGGGUGAGGAAUACAUCGGAAUCUACUUUUUCGUGGGGGAUAACGUAGGGAAACUUACGCUAAUACCGCAUACGACCUACGGGUGAAAGCAGGGGAUCUUCGGACCUUGCGCGAUUGAAUGAGCCGAUGUCGGAUUAGCUAGUUGGCGGGGUAAAGGCCCACCAAGGCGACGAUCCGUAGCUGGUCUGAGAGGAUGAUCAGCGACACUGGAACUGAGACACGGUCCAGACUCCUACGAGGAGCAGCAGUGGGGAAUAUUGGACAGUGGGCACAAGCCUGAUCCAGCCAUACCGCGUGGGUGAAGAAGGCCUUCGGGUUGUAAAGCCCUUUUGUUGGGAAAGAAAAGCAGCAGGUUAAUACCCCGCUGUUCUGACGGUACCCAAAGAAUAAGCACCGGCUAACUUCGUG